UACGUAGGGUGCAAGCGUUGUCCGGAAUUAUUGGGCGUAAAGGGCGCGUAGGCGGCUUUGCAAGUGACGGGUGAAAGCCCUCGGCUUAACCGAGGAACUGCCUGUCAGACUGUAAGGCUUGAGACCGGGAGAGGUGAGUGGAAUUCCCAGUGUAGCGGUGAAAUGCGUAGAUAUUGGGAGGAACACCAGUGGCGAAGGCGGCUCACUGGACCGGAACUGACGCUGAGACGCGAAAGCGUGGGGAGCAAACAGG
rnacentral:rRNA from 1 species